CGAAUCCGAAGUCCGUUUCGCCAAAUUCGAAACCGGAAUUAUUGGAAGUUGAAUUCAAGAUCGAGGGGGUUCAAAUGAAAUUUAUUGGUCGAUCAUUAUUGCACAGAAAUCGAGGUUAAAAGAAUUGUACCAGUGCAUCUAUCGACUU